rnacentral:tRNA from 1 species
GGGAAUAUAGCUCAGUGAUAGAGCACUUGUUUAACAUGUAUGAAGCCCUGAGUUCAAUUCCUAGUACCA